GCGGUUGCUGCACGUUGCCUCGCCGCGUCGCGAAGGGCCGAGCAGGCCGAGUUUGAGUGAAUUUUUCCCUUGUUUGAAGUGUGCUUGCGCCAUGUGCUCGUCCUGUGUGUUCUGCCGGUGCUGCUUAUUACGAGGAUGCGCUAUACUCAAGCGAAGACCGGCUGCUUCAUAUCGUGGAGCACUUACCAGCCUAUACAUGCUCCUUGUACAAAGUGAGUGUGAAAGAAAUCCGGACAAGCCUGUCAUCAGUGGUGGCUCAUGGACAAGUUUGUUGCUGAUGUACAGCAGCUGCGCAUGGCUUCUGUUUCCUGUACAAGGGGAACUGCACUGAGAACAGCGGAGUGGGCACUUCAACCACCUGUUUGCUGUAUUCAAGUAGCUCACAUGUAGAGGGUGUUCAAAAUUAAGUUUUUUGUUUUUCUUAUAAAAAGUCCGCACUGUAAGUCACGUCAAAGCCACCUUUGCAGAUAAGUUAUUAUCCAGGAGGACACAAAGUGGGACAAUAAUUAUCGCUGUCAGCCGUGCAAUUAACUGAGAUUUAAUAAUAAACUUCUUUAGUGACUCCAGCAAGCGGGCAUGUAUGUAUUAAGAAGUUUGAGCCAGCUGCAUUUCUACACGAUUCCACUUCAAAGAAUUCUUCUAGCAUGUCUGGGCUCAGAUAUCCUGCUGCAAAGUUUAAUUCCGGCUUGCAUCAUUGCACAUGCAGGACCUUGAGCACUGGCACAAAGCUCCUCCCUGAUGUGCCAGGUUUAAUGCUGGUGAUAGCAAGCAGUGACUGCUCGUCACACCAGGGAGUAAUAUUUUGCUGAUCCUCACCGCCUUGCAUCAUGCAAACCACAAUUAAACUUUGCAGCGGGAUAUCUCGCAGCACAGACAUGCUAGAAGAAUUCUUCCAAGUGGAACUGUGUAGAAACACGACUGCCUCCAACUUUUCAAUACAAAGAUGCCCGCUUGCUGUAGUCACUAAAAAUUUCAUUAUUUAAUCUUAGUUAAUUGGGCGGCUGACAGCAGUAAUGUCUUACUUUGUGUCCCCAUGGACACAUAACUUACCUGCAAAGUUGGUUUUCAUGUUUUUCCCAGGGCUGAAUUUUAAUGCAACCAUAAAGCACAAUCCUAAAUGUGUCAAUGCUGCUUCCUUAGCUUUGUAUUUUGUCUUUUCAAAAUCUAUUGAGUGAGCGGCUCUCUCGACUCGUGUGUCAUGUUUUAAUUCAUAUCUUAUGUGCAGUUAUCAUUUUUAAAAUUGAACUUUCAAUUUUGUGAUAAGGCAGUAGUGCAUCAAUUCACUAUUUUAUUUUCACCUUAAUAUUCACCGUACAUUUUGUAAUAUUUUUUUUUUCAUCAGAGUCAAUAUUUUUAUUUUAUUUAUACAAGUACCUGCAGCGCCACGAGGGCAUUAUUGCAGGGGGAACUGCAAUAAUGCUUUUCUAAUCAUACAUAUUCCAUUGUCUUCCGGAAAUUCAUUUCCUAAGUGCAAUCAUGUGAUGUCCUGCUAUGAUGCCUAAUCAUAUUUAACUUUGUUAAUGAUAACUUACAGAAGGCAUUCUGAAAUAUUGAAAUGUAAGUCUCGGCAUUGGGAGAUGAAUGGUGGCGACAUUUUCUAAACUACACUGUUUUGUCUGCUUGCUUUAGUUGUGUGAAGUAUAGUAAUAAUAAGUGUUUGGAUUUAACCACAAUAUGAUUAUGAGGGACGUCGUAGUGGAGGGCUCCUGAAAUUUCGACCACCUGGGUUCUAUAAGGUGCACCUAAAUCUAAGUAGAUGGGCCUCAAGCAUUUCUUCCUCGAUCGAAAAUGUGGCCACCACGGCCGGGAUUUGAUCGCGUGACCUUCGGUUCAGCAGUCAAGGGUGACUUACAGUGUACUACUUUUGUGUGGGCUAUAGUUUGCUUUAAAUUAUGCAUGCUAAGUAUGGCAUUUUGGUGCCAACCACGCAUCUCUGGUAGUGCACUGAUGUUGUGUUUGCCACAUUCCUAAUUUAUUGCAGUAUUUAAUUUUAGCAUGCAUUUAUUGUGAGCAGCUCUGGGUAGCGCACUGACGUUUGUCACAUUCCUCAUUUAUUGCAGUAUUUUUUAUUUGUGUAUUUAUUCUGAGUUUGUUGUGAAGUUAUGAUUGUUCCACUUCUUCCACUCUAGAAGGUUGCAUACAUUUGUAAUUAACCCAUGAAGCCCAACAAGUCACUCUGAUACACUUAGGUGUGCAAAGCUUAUCUAAGAAGCCCAUAGUGUUUAUAAUGCCUUGGGAAGUGCCUCUUGGUCAUAAAUUGCUGUCAUGAUGAGUUUCUUAAAACAUUUGUUUUUGCGUUUUUCAGAAAUGAAUGUACUCUUCAUUACCAAAAAAGAUGCAGAACAAGUUAAACCUUUUAAAAUGUUAAUGAUGUGUUGAGGCGUUACGGGGUUAAGGCUGAUCUGUUAAUCUUAUUUUUCUUCAACCGCCGACAUAUGUACGUUGCCAGUUUGAAUAUUGUCUAUGAAGUGCUCUAAACUGUACAGUGUAAAUGAUAAUAAAUGAGUAAUAUUGCAGA